GGUAUUACAAUCUUCUGAAGUUCCUGAACUUAAGAAGAAAAAUAUAAAAACUAGUUCUCUAGGAAAAGCAUCUAAGAAGAUGAGUGCUGAAGGUAGUUCUGGUUCUUCGGGUAGAGAAAGUGACGAGGAAGAUGAAGAUGAACUAAGACCAAAGAAGAAAAUUGGUCCAAAACAAAAAAUGCUAAAUUCUGAAGGUACUAAAAAACGGAAGAUGCUAGAGAAGGAAACCAAAGUAUCUGGCAAGAAGCAGAUCAAACAUGUGGAAACAGUAGCAGAGGACAACAGUGAUGCGGAAGA
rnacentral:misc_RNA from 1 species